UACGGAGGGGGCUAGCGGUGUUCGGAAUUACUGGGCGUAAAGCGCGCGUAGGCGGACCUGCAAGUCGGGGGUGAAAGCCCGAGGCUCAACCUCGGAACUGCCUUCGAUACUGCGAAUCUCGAGUCCGGGAGAGGUGAGUGGAAUUCCUAGUGUAGAGGUGAAAUUCGUAGAUAUUAGGAAGAACACCAGUGGCGAAGGCGGCUCACUGGCCCGGUACUGACACUGAGGUGCGACAGCGUGGGGAGCAAACAGG
rnacentral:rRNA from 1 species